rnacentral:rRNA from 1 species
UACGGAGGGAGCUAGCGUUGUUCGGAAUUACUGGGCGUAAAGAGCUCGUAGGCGGCUUGUUGCGUCGACCGUGAAAACCCGGGGCUCAACUUCGGGCUUGCGGUCGAUACGGGCGGGCUAGAGUUCGGUAGGGGAGACUGGAAUUCCUGGUGUAGCGGUGAAAUGCGCAGAUAUCAGGAGGAACACCGGUGGCGAAGGCGGGUCUCUGGGCCGAUACUGACGCUGAGGAGCGAAAGCGUGGGGAGCGAACAGG